rnacentral:rRNA from 1 species
CCGGGUGGCGACCGGCGCACGGGUGAGUAACGCGUAUGCAACUUACCUAUCAGAGGGGGAUAACCCGGCGAAAGUCGGACUAAUACCGCAUGAAGCAGGGGCCCCGCAUGGGGAUAUUUGCUAAAGAUUCAUCGCUGAUAGAUAGGCAUGCGUUCCAUUAGGCAGUUGGCGGGGUAACGGCCCACCAAACCGACGAUGGAUAGGGGUUCUGAGAGGAAGGUCCCCCACAUUGGUACUGAGACACGGACCAAACUCCUACGGAAGGCAGCAG